UAUUGACUUUCCAAAAUCUGAAAAAAACGCUGAUUUGCAGAAGUACAAGUGACCCUAAGGGUUUGGGAUAUGGUUAUCCAUCUCAAAGGGUAUUUGGGAACCUAAAUGGACUAGACAGCAGCUAUUUGGGGGUUAAUGUAAGAUCAGGAAUAACCACGCUCACUAAGUAUGGGCUGCUUUUACCAUCAAACCAUGGUCGAGUGACAGCAUGCAUGUACGUCUAGCUACAAAACUGUGUUAGGAAGCACAUAAGACACUGUAGCUUACACAUUGGCCUAGUUUGUAUCUAUUUAUAUCUAUCUUGAGUGUUGAACUUCCUCCCAAUUUUCUUUGUAGAUGCCUUCUCAAUGCUUUCUAACUCCAUUUUUAGGUCGGAGGACAAAUAGCAGACCCUUCCUCUCUCUCAAGCACUCUUUGCUCUGAUCACAGGGAACCAGGGAGCUGAGAACUGGCCAAGCUGCAGGGCCUUUCUCUGAGAGUGAUGAUUAAUGGCCAAACACAGCUAAAUGUGAAAUAGUAAUGCAGUCAAGCUUUCAGGACAGUUUCUCAGGAGCCUGGUGCUAAGAACUUCUCAACAGGGACAACUUAGUGGGGGAAAUGGAAAAUGAACACACAUGAUGUAAAACUUUGGCUACAAAUAUAAGCUGAUUUGGUGGGGACAGUGCAGUGGUAUUUUGUUUGGUGUUUUCUCCAUUGUGAGGUCUGCUGCCUGAAGCAGGUAAAAUUCUUUUUCCACACAUAAACUUAGGGGGUUGAGUAUGAGGAAGAAUAAAUGGGUCUAGGCUAGAAAAGCUUGAUGUAUUGAAAUAAGAAGUGAAAACUUGUUGUCCGAUGGUGAUAAGAUCAUCAGAAACACCCCUCUAUAGUACAGAAUUUUGGUGUUUAGUGAAAAAAAACUGGUAGCAAAAGUGGAUUCAUUUAGCCUAUCUGUGCCAGUUUCCCAGCCUCUGGCUGAACAGAGACUACUUUUUGAGGAUGCGCUCCGUGACAUAUAUUCUUUUGUUAGAAGUACUUUCGGUUUUGGUUUUUGUUGUGUUUUGUUUGGCCGUUAAGAUGUUGGAUUCUCAUUACCUAGUCCAAGAUCUGAAUUAUCUGUGUUGUCUUCAUUAAAAAAACAAACAUACAAAAAAGAACAAGUGAAAUAAAUCAUUCUAAGUGAAAAGGAGAUACAAACAGAGCACUGAGAAGCUGAAGUUUUAAUAACAUUUUAUGUUGACUUUGUAAACUUAGCUACAAGUCAUUUCUUGCUGACAGAUACUUUAGAGGCUGAAGAAACAAAUUUGUCUUGUGCACAAUUGCCAUGAAUUUUUAAUAGAAUCUACAUUUUUCCUCUUUAAGUGUCAUGACUUUUUGUGUUCUGUGUGCCCCUCUUCCCACCUCCUAAUUUGUGUUGUCUCAAGACAGAAAUAGAGAACUUGUAGAAAAUUAAAGCACUCACAAUUGGUGUUAAGGGAAAAGAAGGAAAUCACAAGAGCUCUCUCGUCAUCCUGUAAUGGAAGAGUACAAGUAACCACACUUUUCUUGGGCUUCUCCAAGGACGCUUGCAGCCCAUGAAGUCCUCCUGAGAGUCAGUCAGUAAUCCCUCAGUGGUCAGCACUGCAUUUAUUCAGACUCCAGUUUCCUGAAUGACUGAAAAAAUUAUUAGUCUCUCAAAUGUUCAGAUUUCCAGCCUGAGUCCUAAGGGACCACUCAAGAAGACCAGAGCCUUUGCUCUGGGGAAAACCAGAUGCCAUGUUCUGAGCCACAUGGCAGAGAACUGACAUCUCUAGACAACAUCUGGCAGAGACCCAAGGCUGUCAACAGUUGUAGGAAAAAAGUCUGUGAAAUUGCCUUAGAAUACGGUCUUUCAGCAACAUAAACAAGUCCAGCAAAGUGUGGUCCGUGCAGCACUGUGAUUCACAAACUGUUACUGAUCCACGGCAAGGUAAACACAGAAACUAAGAGUUAGUGUUUGGAAGCAUUUGUAACAAUGUGAUGUGCUGUUGACAUCCAAGUGCAUGAUUUUGUUUGAUACAAAAGUGUUGGUUUAUGACAAAUUGGAUAUAAAAAAAUAAUAUACCCUGGCCCUUCCCACUGGAAUAGAAUCUGGUGUUUUGUAACAGGAUUUUUGUUGUACUGGUAACUUAGUAAGACAUAGUCAUGUGGUUUCAAAUGAGAACAUCUGGGGGCCCAUCAGGUGGGAGUGACAAACAGGUCCUGAGAUUGCAAGCGACCUGGGAAGGCUGAUGAGCGAGCCCAUUAAUAACAUCAUGCAAAUGGGUUCUAGAUGCAGAUGGGUGGGUCUGCUACAGUUCACUCACCAGCUAAUACAGUUGUAAUGUGUUGCUUCCUAUCUGAGAGAAGGCAGCCACCUCAGGGUAUUAUGUAUGUCUCACAUACAUAUAUAAAUGAAUUCCUUUGGAGUUAAAUGCAUUUUAAGUCGAUAAUUCAUCUUCUCUGAACAGGAAGCCAACAACUUUCCUGGAAAUCUAGCAAAACAACCAUUCUGUGACCAGCCUUAUGUCUUGUUGCAUGUGCACUUAAAAAAAGCAGACUGACUUUUUCCUUUUCUGUUUUAGAAUCAGUUCCAAACAGUAAAGCCUGCCAGAAAAAACAGACAAACUCUCAGGAACAACAAUGCCCAUUAUGUGUGGGGUAGGAGCUGCCAGAUUUUGAUUACUGGACAGACAUUAACCCCUUUGGUGUCCUUUUGGGGAAAUGCCAAGUCUGAAUGCAGACACUUCCAGGAUUUUACACUCACUCGUGGUGUGAGAGCAGGUGAUUUAUAAUGACUUGUGCAAAAAAGGACUGUUGUGAGAAGGAGGUACGAGUUCAAGGCCACAUGUCCUUGUUUCCUGCAUUCUGCCAGAACUCAUUUUGGUGAGCGGACACAGAUUCGAUCACCUCUGCUUUUCUCUUUGUGAGCCUGCUGGUCGUGGGCAAGGAGAACUCUGCCCUGCCAUCUGCCCUGCCUGGGUGUUCAGCUGGCUGCCCCAAGGAAAGGGGCAAAAUUGGCAUUCACAGAAGAAAACCUGUGGGUUUCCUGAGGCCAGCACUUACGGCAAAGGUGCUAGAAAGGAGAAUUCCUGAGAAGUGUUUUCCCCUCUGUCCUAUACCCUGUAUGUGGACAUACUAUAUCGCAUUUUGAGAGUUUAGAUAAGCAGAGAGCCAUGCAAUCUCUAGUGGGAGGAUAGCAGUGUAUAUGUAUUAUGUGUGUAUAUGUGUGUUUCAUUUGUCCUUUUACUUUACUCUUUAAUAUAUAUUUAUUGAUAGUCCACUGUGGUACAGCUGGGAUACCAAGUUAAUUACAGUAAUAACAAUGGCUACCAUUUAUCAAGAACUUAUUCAUGUCAGUGUUAUGUUAAACACUUCACAUACAUGUGCUUAAAUUCACAUACUCCUUUAAAAAACUAUGAAAUAGCUCCAUUUUACACAUUAGGAAAUUAAGUCCCAGAAAAGUCAAGGGCCCUGGCUACAGAGCUAGGAUUCAUAUCCAGGUCUAUGUGAUACAAAACCCAUUCCUUUCUUCAUUUUGCCAAACUGCCUUCCUAAAGAUGAGUUAAAACAAAAAAUGCAUUUACUUAAUUUUUGGAAUUCACAUUCUGGUUGGCAUGAACGGUGUGUGAUGCAGAGUGAAAGAGGUUCAAACGUGGCUGUGGACUAAAUACCAUGAUUGAUUGUGCUGGAAGGCAGGGGGAGGUGGGAAAGGGUAGAGCAAGGCACCACAGAGACAGUAGUUCUUGGAAGAUGCCUCUGUGGAAGGGGAUAUGUGCUUCAGAGAGGGAGAGAGAGAUUCAGUUGGGCAUGCUUUGUUGUUAGGAAAAGACCUGGACUUAUUCAGAGGCAAAGAAACUUCUGGAAUGCAGAGUGAUUCUAUACUACAGAAUAGAGGAACUCAGCAGGAAAUUCUCCAGGGUUGCUUCUCCACUUACCCUAUCCGUAUCUUGUUUCUUGUUCAUGGCAUUGCCGUGUCCCACUACAAGGAGAUUCAGGGACAAAGGGAGUUCAGCCUCGGUAAAUCAGAGGGUGUGAUGAUUCUUAUGGAAACCACAGGAAAGAGACAAAGGUAACCCAUCACUGCUUGCUGCAAUGGUGGGACCUUGUGGGAUCCAGGGCUGAAGGACCUGCUGACCCUGGAAGUGGCAGUGCAGGACCACGUGGAGGGAAGAAGAAGAACUGAUACCACUGGUUCUCUUUGAUUGUGUCGUUUCACCUUGAAGGGCAUGGCAGCCUGGUUCUUUCAUCAGAGACAGUGGGAUAGAAAAGGAAAGGAAUGUAGCACCACAGCCAGCCCUCCUUGAAGAGGACAGUGAGAAAGACGAUGCUUUGUGUUAACACUGGGAGGUGAAGUGACCACCUAUCUGGUCCCAGCCAGGGCAGCAAUCCAGCCCAAAGGAAAGGAUCACACUGACUUUUCAGCCAGGACCGAGCCUUGGGCUGUUCUGUUUGGAAUACAUGAAAAGCCUUCGACAAAAUGCAACCAGCACUGUUGGCAACCACAUCACAGUUCUUUGGGGUUUUUCUUUGAGAAAUUGAGACUUACCUUUGAAACUUGGGGGUAGGAUGUUAUUCUCUUAGACUGGAAUAAUCAUUAGACUGUUGAUUUAUAGUGAUUCUGGGUUUUGUACAUAUUUUCAAAAGGGAUGCUGGGCUUUCCUACAUUCAUUACAAAGUCUUCCCAGCCUCCAGAUCUUUCCAUAAAAUGCCUCUUCUCUAGUCAUUAAAUACAUCCUGUGAGUGAAUAUGGUUAUGGACUAUUUACAGCUAUCCUUGUUCAUCGUAUCAAAAGAUCAUGAAAAAAAAUGCCCAUCAUUAAAGGUCCAAAGUGAUUGGAUUGGCAAGGGGAAUGGAGAUGGGGCUGGCAUAGGAGAGAGGAUCUGUCUCUGGGAUUUCGUGAAAUCCGGAACAAUAGGACAGCUGCUUUUCUAUAAACAGAUUAUUAUUAUUAUUUCUACCUAGACAGCUUGAUAGCAGCCAUUAUCUUCUUUCUGGAUGUCUUAUCAAGUUCAGGCUGUGUGCAGCAUGGACGAUAAGGAAUGAGAAAUGUCACCCAUGGGAUUGUCAAAGAUUAUUUCUAUGCACUGCUGUUCAGCAACAGCCAAUCCCACAGAACUGAAAAGUAGUUCUUUUGUUCACACUGGGCAGUUGCUAUUCUAACUACACCAAGAGAGCAGAAAGGAUGUAGUUGCCAUUGUGUGAAAGAUUGUAAUUUUAUUACUCUCGGCUAAAGUUCAAGCAGUCUUGAUUUUGAAAAGCAGAAUUAUCAUGGAUUAUCUUUGAAGAGGCAGAAAACAAGGGAAGGAAGGAAGAAAGAAAUGAGCUCAGAGCUUUCAGGACUAUGAAGGAGUGUUUAGAAAGAAAAAAAAAAAGAGACUAGUACAAUACUUGCAAUCCCUGGAACUUAAAAUGCCAGGCAUAUAAGUCUCAAAGGAAUGGCAUAUCAUUGCAUUACCAUUACUUGUGAUCCAAUUGUUUAAUGUAAAGGCUCCAUCCUACAUAUGACUCAUCAGAAAAUAGUUGAUUUACUGAAUUUCUGUUUGUUUCUGUUUCAUACUAAGUUCUUUGAUAAAAUUAAUCAGUUGAUAGUUAAAAUUUUUCCUUUGCUCCCCAAUGAAAAAAUAAAUGUUUUAUUAUAGAUGUAGAUGUGCUGGCUGUAAACAGUUCAAAAAAAAAAAAACCCACCAAUUUUAUUGCAUUUUUGUUCCAGUAUCUCACAGCUUCCCAACAUUUUCUCUUCCUAGUAAAAAGAUUGGAUUAGGAAAAAACAAAAGCAGAAACGAAGGUGACUAAGCUGUGCUUUAUUCCUGUAGGAUUUCCUCUCAACGUGUGGAGACUGCUCGAGUCUUCUUUAUACACAGUUUCAGGGUCAUGCUGGUAUUAUAAGGCAAGUUGCUUGGAAGCAUGCCAAAUAAAAUUUUUCCAAUGUUUUAAAUCACUGCUCUGAAACUGGAAUUUCAAAUGAAUUAAAAUACUUCACUCUCACACCAACAAUUUCUGAAGUUAGAUUUCAAUCAUGGAAUCAUUAAGAUGGGAGUAGGAGGAAGUUGGGAAGGCAAAGAGCAAAGAGAGGGCACAGAGGCAGAAAGGAGGAUGUGGGAGAAGAGCAGAGGACUUUUGACUCUCUUUUGGAGGAUGAACUCCAGGAAGGCAAGAUGUGCACACAGAGUUCUUAAAACACUGAGCGUGGAGUAAGUACCGAGGAGGUACAUUAAAGGGAAUAGUGAGGGGUGUGUAGAAAAGAUGGUUUCAGUGUUAAUAUAUCCAAAAGAACAUUCUCCUAACUAAACAAGUUAUUUAGGCUUUUUUGGCAGUUAAGUAUUUAUCAGGAAGCCUAAAGCUUCUCCAACUAUAGUACACAUAUGAAUUAUCUGGGGAUCUUGUUAAAAUUCAGAUUCUAAUUCCGAGGUCUGGGACAGGGUCUGAGAUUCUGUAUUUCUACCAAACUCCCAUGGGAUGCUACUGGCCCCCAGAACACACUGAGUCAUAUACAUUGGGGACUGGGCGGGGAGUCA